rnacentral:rRNA from 1 species
GAACGCUGGCGGCGUGCCUAACACAUGCAAGUCGAGCGCGAAAGGGUAGCAAUACCUGAGUAAAGCGGCGAACGGGUGAGUAACACGUGGUUAACCUGCCGGGAUGUGGGGGAUACCCCGGGGAAACUCGGGACAAUACCGCAUGAUGUCUCCUGGGCGUGGGCUCGGGAGAGCAAAGCCGGGGAUCCGCAAGGACCUGGCGCAUUCCGAUGGGACCGCGGCCGAUUAGCUAGUUGGCGGGGUAAUGGCCCACCAAGGCAACGAUCGGUAGCCGGCCUGAGAGGGUGAUCGGCCACACCGGAACUGAGACACGGUCCGGACUCCUACGGGAGGCAGCAGUGGGGAGUUUUGCGCAAUGGGCGAAAGCCUGACGCAGCAACGCCGCGUGGAGGAUGAAGGUUCUCUGAAUUGUAAACUCCUGUCGGCCGGGAAGAAUUGGCAGGGCGCUAAUCAGCCCUGUUUUGACUGUACCGGCAAAGGAAACCCCGGCUAACUCCGUGCCAGCAGCCGCGGUAAUACGGAGGGGGCAAGCGUUACUCGGAAUUAUUGGGCGUAAAGGGCGCGUAGGCGGUCGUGUGCGUCAGAGGUGAAAUCCCCCGGCUUAACCGGGGACGUGCCUCUGAUACGGCAUGGCUUGAGUCCGGGAGAGGAGAGCAGAAUUCCCAGUGUAGCGGUGAAAUGCGUAGAUAUUGGGAGGAAUACCGGUGGCGAAGGCGGCUCUCUGGACCGGUACUGACGCUGAGGCGCGAAAGCGUGGGU